UACGUAGGGUGCGAGCGUUAAUCGGAAUUACUGGGCGUAAAGCGUGCGCAGGCGGUAAUGCAAGUCAGAUGUGAAAUCCCCGGGCUCAACCUGGGAACUGCAUUUGUGACUGCAUUGCUGGAGUGCGGCAGAGGGGGAUGGAAUUCCGCGUGUAGCAGUGAAAUGCGUAGAUAUGCGGAGGAACACCGAUGGCGAAGGCAAUCCCCUGGGCCUGCACUGACGCUCAUGCACGAAAGCGUGGGGAGCAAACAGG
rnacentral:rRNA from 1 species